GGGUCUUUGGCAACACAUAUACUAAAAUUAAAACGACACAGAGAAGAUUAGCAUGGCCCCUGCACAAGAUGACACGCAAAAUCCUGAAGCGUUCCAUAUUAAA